GUAUUUUAUUUUUAUGUAUAUACGUUCUAAACUAUUAUGUGUGUGUAAUAAAAAAGGUUGCCACUGAGCAAACUCAGCAACGAUGCACAGGUGUGUAAGGAAUAAAGAAUAUAGGGGAGUCGAAACUCCCCAUUUUUACAAUUCAAUAAUGAUCCUUCUGCAGGUUCACCUACAGAAA
rnacentral:misc_RNA from 1 species